GACGGAGCGAAAUGCCUCAGAAAGACUCUGCGGGCUGCGGGAUGAGGAGGCUCGAUGUUUAUUAGACGGAAUGUCUGAAGAGAGGAAGAGAGAUGGACACCAUCAGGAAAGCGGAGGAUGUUUAGUUGAGUUGCGGUGAACAGCACCAUCUAGAGGCGAACACGAGACACAUGCGCUUAUCUCUCAUCUCAUACACUGAGCUGAAGUGGGGCGACACUCUUGUCGAGGUUCCAGUUCCUUAGUGACAUCAUCUUACAGGAAGUGACAUAAUUUUGGAGGGAAACCAACAGCACAAACACCGAUAAGCCCUAAGGUCAACUGAGAAAGCCACAUAUUGAAAGAUAUUG